rnacentral:rRNA from 1 species
GACGAACGCUGGCGGCGUGCCUAAUACAUGCAAGUCGAGCGGACAGAAGGGAGCUUGCUCCCGGAAGUCAGCGGCGGACGGGUGAGUAACACGUGGGCAACCUGCCUGUAAGACCGGGAUACCUUCGGGAAACCGGAGCUAAUACCGGAGAGGUUCUUGCUCCGCAUGGGGGAAGAUGGAAAGACGGUUUCGGCCGCCACUUACAGAUGGGGCCGCGGCGCAUUAGCUAGUUGGUGGGGCAAUGGCCCACCAAGGCGACGAUGCGUAGCCGACCUGAGAGGGUAAUCGGCCACACUGGGACUGAGACACGGCCCAGACUCCUACGGGAGGCAGCAGUAGGGAAUCUUCCGCAAUGGACGAAAGUCUGACGGAGCAACGCCGCGUGAGCGAAGAAGGCCUUCGGGUCGUAAAGCUCUGUUGUUAGGGAAGAACAAGUGCCAGAGUAACUGCUGGCACCUUGACGGUACCUGACCAGAAAGCCACGGCUAACUACGUGCCAGCCGCCGCCGUAA